rnacentral:SRP_RNA from 1 species
GCCCUGUAUGGUGGUUUAUGCUUGUAAUCCUUGCUAUUGGGGAGACUAACGCUGGUGGAUUGCUUGAGUUCAGGAGCUCUGAAUGGCAGAGCAUUAAGUUGAUUAUGUGCCCCCCUAAGUGGAGCAUUAAUAUAGUGAGCAGAGACAGGGAGGGGAAGGAAUUGGAUCAGAUUGUCUAAGGAGAAAUGAACCAGACCAGGUCAGAAAUAGACCAGGUCAAAAAUUCCAUGCUGAUUAGUGUUGGGAUUAGGUUUGUGAGUGAUCACUGCACUUCCAGCCUGGACAAUAGAGGGACUCCAUGUCU